rnacentral:rRNA from 1 species
AACGGUGAAAGAGAGCUUGCUCUCUGGAUCAGUGGCGAACGGGUUGAGUAACACGUGAGCAAUCUGCCCCUGACUCUGGGAUAAGCGUUGGAAACGACGUCUAAUACCGGAUACGAGCUGCGAAGGCAUCUUCAGCAGCUGGAAAGAACUUCGGUCAGGGAUGAGCUCGCGGCCUAUCAGCUAGUUGGUGAGGUAAUGGCUCACCAAGGCGUCGACGGGUAGCCGGCCUGAGAGGGUGACCGGCCACACUGGGACUGAGACACGGCCCAGACUCCUACGGGAGGCAGCAGUGGGGAAUAUUGCACAAUGGGCGCAAGCCUGAUGCAGCAACGCCGCGUGAGGGACGACGGCCUUCGGGUUGUAAACCUCUUUUAGCAGGGAAGAAGCGAAAGUGACGGUACCUGCAGAAAAAGCACCGGCUAACUACGUGCCAGCAGCCGCGGUAAUACGUAGGGUGCAAGCGUUAUCCGGAAUUAUUGGGCGUAAAGAGCUCGUAGGCGGUUUGUCGCGUCUGCUGUGAAACCCCGAGGCUCAACCUCGGGCCUGCAGUGGGUACGGGCAGACUAGAGUGCGGUAGGGGAGAUUGGAAUUCCUGGUGUAGCGGUGGAAUGCGCAGAUAUCAGGAGGAACACCGAUGGCGAAGGCAGAUCUCUGGGCCGUAACUGACGCUGAGGAGCGAAAGGGUGGGGAGCAAACAGGCUUAGAUACCCUGGUAGUCCACCCCGUAAACGUUGGGAACUAGUUUGUGGGGUCCAUUCCACGGAUUCCGUG